rnacentral:misc_RNA from 1 species
UCUCCGUAGGUGAACCUGCGGAGGGAUCAUUACUGAGUGAGGGUCUCCGGGCCCGACCUCCAACCCUUUUGUGAACCACCUCGUUGCUUCGGGGGUGACCCUGCCGUCCGCGGACGGGCACCCCCGGAGCCCAUCAAACCCUGCGUAACUAAGUCGUCGGAGUUUAAACAAAUUAAACAAAACUUUCAACAACGGAUCUCUUGGUUCGGGCAUCGAUGAAGAACGCAGC